rnacentral:lncRNA from 1 species
GAGACCUUGAACAAGUCUCUGUUUGUUUCGUACCAUUCAGAUUUCCUCGUCUGUAAACAUUAAGUAUCUACAUUCACUAAAAGUAGUUCUGAAUGAAUGUUAUUUAAUGGUGCCAAUGAUGUUGGAGGAUACCUGUGCAUCUCAUGCUGUGGUUACAGCAUCAAUUGUGAUGAAUAUAGGAUACUGAGUCCCUCCUAGAAAUGACUUCAGGAACUUCACCCCCCAACUCCACAAUCUGGGAAUGGCAGACAGAUUCAGCACCAGGAGAACAUCACAUAAAGGACAAGUGUGUAUGUUUAAAAAUGGCAAGUUUCGGCCUGGCAUGGUGGCUCACGUCUAUAAUCCCAGCACUUUGGGAGGCUGAGGUAGGUGAAUCACGAAGUCAGAAGGUCGAGACAAUCCUGACCAACAUGGUGAAACCUUGUCUCUACUAAAAAUACAAAAAUUAGCUGGGUGUGGUGGCUCACACCUGUAAUCCCAGCUACUCGGGAGGCUGAGGCAGGAGAAUUGCUUGAACCCAGGAGGCAGAGGCUGCAGUGAGCCGAGAUUGCUCGCUGCACUCCAGCCUGGUGAGAGUGAGAUUCCGUCUAGAAAAAAAAAAAAAAAAAAAGACAA